GCCAUUGAUUACUUCACAAAGUGGCCAGAAGCCGCCCCCUUGGUGGAUAAAACAGCAACAGCUGUGGCAAAGUUUCUUCAUGGUCUGAUCUGCCGUUAUGGGUGCCCUGAAAUUGAGAUAUCUGACCAAGGUGGAGAAUUUGUAAACCAAGUUCAGGCAGAACUGCACAAGCUAACAGGUGUGGACUAUCGUGUCACAAGUGCAUAUCAUCCACAGGAUAAUGGACUAGUAGAGAGACAAAACCACACAACACAGAACAGCUUGCUGAAACUCCUGGAAGGCUCCGAGGAUGGGUGGGCAGACCUGCUGGAUGGUGUCCUGUUUGCGUACAGAACAGCUGUACAUGCUUCAACAGGUUUUACCCCAUUCUUUCUCCUCUAUGGGCGACAACCAUUUAUAGGUUAAGAUGAAGAACAUGAAAAACACAAACGGCUGGUGGCAAACUACGGGAGCAUUGGAUAGGAUCAUACACCAUGGAGGAAAUCAAGAAAAAGGGUGCUUGUAGACUAAAAAACUUAAGUGGCAAGGUCUUGUCAGGUGCAGCAAAUGCCUCUCAUCUGAAAAGAUAUAGAGAGGCUGCAGCAGAUGAUGUCCAGCUCAGCAACAGAGAGGAGCUGAAAACAACAUGCAGCAGUGUGGAGGUACCUGAUAACCUGGCAUAAGGUACCUGGCAAACAUUGUUGAGCAUUUCCAGCCUGUUCUAUUAACGUGAAUGUGUUUUGAUUUGUAUAUUGUGCAUUUAAAGCAAUAAAUACUGUUUGAACACAUCCAAAUGGCUGAAAUAUGGACCUGUAAAGGACAGCACUACAGGACUGAAAACAUUCUGAAAAUAACAUCUACCUUACAAACACUGAUGACCUUUCCAGCGUGUUGUACUAACGUGAAUGUAUUUUGAUUUGUAUA